AUUGAACGCUGGCGGCAUGCCUUACACAUGCAAGUCGAACGGCAGCACGGGAGCAAUCCUGGUGGCGAGUGGCGAACGGGUGAGUAAUAUAUCGGAACGUGCCCAGUCGUGGGGGAUAACGUAGCGAAAGCUACGCUAAUACCGCAUACGAUCUACGGAUGAAAGCGGGGGAUCGCAAGACCUCGCGCGAUUGGAGCGGCCGAUAUCAGAUUAGCUAGUUGGUGGGGUAAAAGCUCACCAAGGCGACGAUCUGUAGCUGGUCUGAGAGGACGACCAGCCACACUGGAACUGAGACACGGUCCAGACUCCUACGGGAGGCAGCAGUGGGGAAUUUUGGACAAUGGGCGAAAGCCUGAUCCAGCAAUGCCGCGUGCAGGAUGAAGGCCUUCGGGUUGGUAAACUGCUUUUGUUACGGAACGAAACGGUAGAGCUCUAAUAAAGACUUGCUAAUGACGGUACCGUAAGAAUAAGACACCGGCUAACUACGUGCC
rnacentral:rRNA from 1 species